rnacentral:lncRNA from 1 species
GGAAAUAAAAUUCUUUCUGCUAUAUUUCGUAUGUAUUGGGGAAUGAAAAGUAAUAAUAAGUAGUUGAUGAAAAGUAAUAAUAAGUAGUUGAUUUCUUGUAUUUGUUUUCCGUGUAUCGUGUAUUGCGUAUCGCGUAUCGAUAGUGCCAUGCUGUUAUCUUUCGGCGAAAAUUAACGAUUAAGCAAAACAUAUGGUUAAGCACUUGUGGUUAUACGCACGAUUGGUGAGUGAAGGUGCGCUAAUAGUUGGAUUCAUCGAGUAUUGGUGACGUGACGAUAAAGAGAUUGAAGAAUGAAGAGAAACCAUGAGUAUAAGCAGUCCAAAACCAAAUAGAAUGUUAAAAUGAAAAU